rnacentral:rRNA from 1 species
AACGAACGCUGGCGGCAUGCCUAACACAUGCAAGUCGAACGAGACCUUCGGGUCUAGUGGCGCACGGGUGCGUAACGCGUGGGAAUCUGCCCUUCGGUUGGGAAUAACUGAGAGAAAUUUCAGCUAAUACCUUAUAAUGUCUUCGGACCAAAGAUUUAUCGCCGAGGGAUGAGCCCGCGUAGGAUUAGGUAGUUGGUGGGGUAAUGGCCUACCAAGCCGACGAUCCUUAGCUGGUCUGAGAGGAUGAUCAGCCACACUGGGACUGAGACACGGCCCAGACUCCCACGGAAGGCAGCAGUGGGGAAUAGUGGACAAGGGGCGAAAGCAUGAACCAGCAAUGACGGGUGAGUGAUGAAGGCCUUAGGGUUGUAAAGCUCUUUUACCCGGGAUGAUAAUGACAGUACCGGGAGAGUAAGCUCCGGCUAACUCCGUG